AUCAAUCAUUCUCCAAACGAAGU
rnacentral:snRNA from 1 species